AAGGAAGGACAGAAAUCAGUAAGUACUGCUAAUACUUAUACCCGAGGUUAAAAUCCUCGGCUUCUUUA
rnacentral:tRNA from 1 species